GGGGAUAUGGUUUAGUGGUAUAAUGCUUCUUUAGCACUUGAGUUUCGUUAAGUUACUCUGGUAAUAUAGAAGAGGUCCGGCGUUCGAUUCGCCGUUUCUCCA